rnacentral:rRNA from 1 species
UCUUUUCGGAGACAAACGUGGCGGACGGGUGAGGAACACGUGGGGAACCUGCCCAUGGUGGGGGGUAGCCCGCGGAAACGCGGGGUAAUUCCGCAUACGCUGGUCUGGGGGUAGCCUGGAUCAGGAAAGGGCUCUUCGGAGCUCGCCGAUGGAGGGGCCUGCGUCCGAUUAGCUGGUUGGUGGGGUAACGGCCUACCAAGGCGGUGAUCGGUAGCUGGUCUGAGAGGACGGCCAGCCACAGGGGAACUGAGACACGGUCCCCACUCCUACGGGAGGCGGCAGCAAGGAGUUUUCCGCAAUGGGCGAAAGCCUGACGGAGCAACGCCGCGUGGGGGAUGACACCUUUCGGG